rnacentral:rRNA from 1 species
AUUGAACUUUGGCGGCAUGCCUUACACAUGCAAGUCGAACGGCAGCACGGAGCUUGCUCUGGUGGCGAGUGGCGAACGGGUGAGUAAUAUAUCGGAACGUACCCUGGAGUGGGGGAUAACGUAGCGAAAGUUACGCUAAUACCGCAUACGAUCUAAGGAUGAAAGUGGGGGAUCGCAAGACCUCAUGCUCGUGGAGCGGCCGAUAUCUGAUUAGCUAGUUGGUAGGGUAAAAGCCUACCAAGGCAUCGAUCAGUAGCUGGUCUGAGAGGACGACCAGCCACACUGGAACUGAGACACGGUCCAGACUCCUACGGGAGGCAGCAGUGGGGAAUUUUGGACAAUGGGCGCAAGCCUGAUCCAGCAAUGCCGCGUGAGUGAAGAAGGCCUUCGGGUUGUAAAGCUCUUUUGUCAGGGAAGAAACGGUGAGAGCUAAUAUCUUUUGCUAAUGACGGUACCUGAAGAAUAAGCACCGGCUAACUACGUGCCAGCAGCCGCGGUAAUACGUAGGGUGCAAGCGUUAAUCGGAAUUACUGGGCGUAAAGCGUGCGCAGGCGGUUUUGUAAGUCUGAUGUGAAAUCCCCGGGCUCAACCUGGGAAUUGCAUUGGAGACUGCAAGGCUAGAAUCUGGCAGAGGGGGGUAGAAUUCCACGUGUAGCAGUGAAAUGCGUAGAUAUGUGGAGGAACACCGAUGGCGAAGGCAGCCCCCUGGGUCAAGAUUGACGCUCAUGCACGAAAGCGUGGGGAGCAAACAGGAUUAGAUACCCUGGUAGUCCACGCCCUAAACGAUGUCUACUAGUUGUCGGGUCUUAAUUGACUUGGUAACGCAGCUAACGCGUGAAGUAGACCGCCUGGGGAGUACGGUCGCAAGAUUAAAACUCAAAGGAAUUGACGGGGACCCGCACAAGCGGUGGAUGAUGUGGAUUAAUUCGAUGCAACGCGAAAAACCUUACCUACCCUUGACAUGGAUGGAAUCCCGAAGAGAUUUGGGAGUGCUCGAAAGAGAGCCAUUACACAGGUGCUGCAUGGCUGUCGUCAGCUCGUGUCGUGAGAUGUUGGGUUAAGUCCCGCAACGAGCGCAACCCUUGUCAUUAGUUGCUACGAAAGGGCACUCUAAUGAGACUGCCGGUGACAAAUCGGAGGAAGGUGGGGAUGACGUCAAGUCCUCAUGGCCCUUAUGGGUAGGGCUUCACACGUCAUACAAUGGUACAUACAGAGCGCCGCCAACCCGCGAGGGGGAGCUAAUCGCAGAAAGUGUAUCGUAGUCCGGAUUGUAGUCUGCAACUCGACUGCAUGAAGUUGGAAUCGCUAGUAAUCGCGGAUCAGCAUGUCGCGGUGAAUACGUUCCCGGGUCU